rnacentral:rRNA from 2 species
AAAUUGAAGAGUUUGAUCAUGGCUCAGAUUGAACGCUGGCGGCAGGCCUAACACAUGCAAGUCGAACGGUAACAGGAAACAGCUUGCUGUUUCGCUGACGAGUGGCGGACGGGUGAGUAAUGUCUGGGAAACUGCCCGAUGGAGGGGGAUAACUACUGGAAACGGUAGCUAAUACCGCAUAACGUCGCAAGACCAAAGAGGGGGAC